GACGAACGCUGGCGGCGUGCUUAACACAUGCAAGUCGAACGGAAAGGCCCUGCUCUUGUGGGGUGCUCGAGUGGCGAACGGGUGAGUAACACGUGAGUAACCUGCCCUUGACUUUGGGAUAACUUCAGGAAACUGGGGCUAAUAUCGGAUAGGAGCUCCUGCUGCAUGGUGGGGGUUGGAAAGUUUCGGCGGUUGGGGAUGGACUCGCGGCUUAUCAGCUUGUUGGUGGGGUAGUGGCUUACCAAGGCUUUGACGGGUAGCCGGCCUGAGAGGGUGACCGGCCACAUUAGGACUGAGGUACGGCCCAGACUCCUACGGGAGGCAGCAGUGGGGAAUAUUGCGCAAUAGGCGGAAGCCUGAUGCAGCAGCGCCGCGUGCGGGAUAACGGCCUUCGGGUUAUAAACCGCUUUCGCCUGUGACGAGGCGUGAGUGACGGUAAUGGGUAAAGAAGCACCGGCUAACUACGUG
rnacentral:rRNA from 1 species